ensembl:misc_RNA Metazoa_SRP Metazoan signal recognition particle RNA
GCUGGGUGCGGUGGCGGGUGCCUGUAGUCCCGGCUACUUGGGAGGCUGAGGCAGGAGAAUCGCUUGAACCUGGGAGGUGGAGGUUGCAGUGAGCCGAGAUCAUGCCACUGCACUCCAGCCUGGGUGACAGAGCGAGACUCUGUCUCAA